rnacentral:lncRNA from 1 species
GGAUAAUGGCCAAAGUAACCCAAAGAAAGUCACCUGCCAUGAUCUCUUCAUCCUAAUGAUUCACGUCUGAAACUUUUCAGUAGCAGUUUUGAAUUUUUCAGGAAGGAGUUACAUUGCAUGGAAACUUGAAAGUGUAGCCUGUUGAGUUAUGCCAUUUAGCUUUCAGUUGUGUAGUUUGGGCUCUGUUACAGCAGCAGCUCUGGCAGAGUGAAUGUCACCAUGGCCUAGCUGAAAGGCAGUAUACAUGGCUUCCCUGAUGGGUUUCUGCUGGAGCAGACCACCAUAGCACCACCCAAUGGAAACUGCUCCAUUUUGAUGAGGAUGCUUUUGCAGAUGAUGAGCCACAGGAACAAUAGUUAAUCAAGUUUCUCUGUAGUUCAGGUACUUAAUAAUAAGGCAGCUGUGGGACACAGCUGUUAGUCAUAGAGGUGAUUCACAGUCUUCUCCCUAUUCUGGAAGGAGUGCUGGGCUACUGUGAUACAGGAGCCUGUCUUGUCUCUGUCCUUCCCUUUCUGCUUUUUCUUUCUGCUAUUCCUGAGGAAGCGUACGUUGGAGUACUUUCAGCUGAUGAGACUGAGUGUUCUUGUUGCAAACCAGGCUGAAAGAUGGGAUAAUUCCUUCGAACAGAGAAAAUGGAACAUUUGUCAAUGGCUAUAUCUAUUCCCAAGGCAUUGUUGGAGGCAAACCCAAGAGCAACAGUGUCCCUGCAUCUGUGAGAACCUUGACGGUAGGCAGUGGCUACUCUUGUUUGUAUGUGGACCCCCAACCUACAAACUUGCUUUCAAGUGAGCUCCUUGGGGCAAGCACUUUGUGCAACUGGUGUACUGGAACAUCUCCUUGGUGAUUCCUCACCUACUGCAGGUAACAUUUACGUUAGUACUGCUGAGCUGGUGUAAUGCAAGGAAGGACACAUCAUGAAAUGGAAACAUUAUCCUUUUUUGGUCAUAGUAGCUGCAUGCAGCCUUUCCAGAUGUCAUCACUUACUGGGUCAGCUUAUUCCAGUUUUCUUUUGUAAAGGUGGGAACAAGCUUUCAGAUUCGUGGUCUGAUAACAAAAACAGUAGGAACAUUCCUCAUGGACCUGGCUGGGCUUGGGAUCCUUACUUCAAGCAGGGAGUACUGUGGAAGUGCCAUCCAUCUGAACUGGAACAGAGGCUAGAUAUGUGGUAUCGAGUUAGUCCUUGAGCUUUACAGAGAUGCCUGGACAACAAAAGACUUGUAAAACCACGUAAUGACAAAUUUUGAAUGCUCUUGGUAGAUUUAAUGGUAGAUUUUUAUAACAGAAUUCUUGUAGAUCUUAGAGAGAGGAGGAUGAGGAGAGAACUUCUUUUGAACCCAGGUUUUUGAGAUUUUGGUAGAAGCUUGUGUACCUCCAUGGUCUACACAUACUGUCUCCCAGUACUUGAGCAAUACUAAUGUACUAGAAAUCUGGCAUUUUCAUCAUUUUCAAGUAAAAGAAGUGUGUUUUUUUUUAUUAUUUUUUUCGGACACCUGUUUUGAUUUUUAAAUGUGAAGUGUAUUUCUUUUCUUCAGGAAAUAGUUCUCCUUUAGGAGAUACAUAUAAGCAACAAAGUGUAAUAUAUAUAAAAUAUACACAACAGAAUGUAAAUUUGAGAAAUGUUUCACUAGUGAAACUUUGAAACAAAUGAAAAAAAACAAAAAACAUUCUCUGAUAAUCAUAGAAGCCUACCAAAGUCCUGAAGAGAACCAACUCAGGAUUUGACCUCUCCUGAAGUAAACAAGAAUAUUUUAAAUUUUCUAUUCCUGAGCAUUUCUUGGCUUGCUAAUGCAACAUUGGAGAAAAUAUGUUCACUAUCCUAGCUUGUUUACCUCUUUCAACAGGAGACAGUUAUUAAACAUAAUGAAACUUUCAGAAAUGCAAAUGUUCUUUUUUCAUUACCUCUAAAUUUUAACCAGAGUAGGCACUUUUUGCCUACCUUUAAAGCCAUGCUGAGGUGUAAGCUGUCAUUUUUGGAAUCUAAAGCUUUUAUCUAAGAGCUUUCAUCAAGUUAAUCAUAACCCAGUAAUGUAAGUCACUCUUCAGGUCUGCCUUUUCUACGAAGUUAUUUGGUGUGUUUUUUUUUUUUUUUUUUUCAAAAUCACUUAACUUUUCAAUCCUCAAGAAUCUGUGAUCUGGCUAGUGAAAACAGCUUACAGAUUUGCAGGUUCCCUUUGUUACCUGCUUGUCAAACUACUAAAUUUUAUCUGAAUAUGGUACUCCAGGUUUCUAAGUGUUUUAUACAUUCUGACAAGAAAUUCGAUUUUCUUGUGUCCCUUCAACCUCUGAAGUUGCCCUGAAAAAAAUGGUUCCUAGCACUGAAAGAUCUUCAUUUGUUGCUUAAUAAAGAUCAUGACCAUCUUUUAUAAUGUAGUGUA